rnacentral:pre_miRNA from 13 species
AUUGCCAACGUGGUCAACAGUCGGUUUUCACCUUGAUCUGAGAGCUAUCUGAAUGCUAUCUGAGAUCAUCGUGAAAGCUAGUUGUUGUUUCACAGGGCC